UUCGUACAGUACCGUCAAGCUUCUACACGUAGAAGUGUUUCUUCCUGUACAAAAGAAGUUUACAACGCGUAGCGCCGUCAUCCUUCACGCGGCAUGGCUGGUUCAGGCUUGCGCCCAU
rnacentral:rRNA from 1 species